rnacentral:siRNA from 1 species
UGACGGCCAUUUUGAGUUCCU